GAUGAACGCUGGCGGCGUGCCUAAUACAUGCAAGUCGAGCGAACAGACGAGGAGCUUGCUCCUCUGACGUUAGCGGCGGACGGGUGAGUAACACGUGGAUAACCUACCUAUAAGACUGGGAUAACUUCGGGAAACCGGAGCUAAUACCGGAUAAUAUAUUGAACCGCAUGGUUCAAUAGUGAAAGACGGUUUUGCUGUCACUUAUAGAUGGAUCCGCGCCGCAUUAGCUAGUUGGUAAGGUAACGGCUUACCAAGGCAACGAUGCGUAGCCGACCUGAGAGGGUGAUCGGCCACACUGGAACUGAGACACGGUCCAGACUCCUACGGCAGGCAGCAGUAGGGAAUCUUCCGCAAUGGGCGAAAGCUUGACGGAGCAACGCCGCGUGAGUGAUGAAGGUCUUCGGAUCGUAAAACUCUGUUAUUAGGGAAGAACAAAUGUGUAAGUAACUAUGCACGUCUUGACGGUACCUAAUCAGAAAGCCACGGCUAACUACGUG
rnacentral:rRNA from 1 species